rnacentral:rRNA from 1 species
CCUACGGGAGGCAGCAGUGGGGAAUAUUGCACAAUGGGGGAAACCCUGAUGCAGCGACGCCGCGUGAGCGAAGAAGCACCUCGGCAUGUAAAGCUCUAUCAGCAGGGAAGAAAAUGACGGUACCUGAGUAAGAAGCUCCGGCUAAAUACGUGCCAGCAGCCGCGGUAAUACGUAUGGAGCAAGCGUUAUCCGGAUUUACUGGGCGUAAAGGGGGCGUAGGCGGCCUGGCAAGCCAGAUGUGAAAUACCGGGGCUCAACCCCGGGGCUGCGUUUGAAACUGGCUGGCUGGAGUGCCGGAGGGGCAGGCGGAAUUCCUGGUGUAGCGGUGAAAUGCGUAGAUAUUAGGAGGAACACCGGUGGCGAAGGCGGCCUGCUGGACGGUAACUGACGCUGAGGCUCGAAAGCGUGGGGAGCAAACAGGAUUAGAUACCCCUGUAGUC